rnacentral:rRNA from 1 species
CUCUAUAGUCAUGCUACCAUGAGUGUGCCCAAUCUUGUCUGAUCUUAGAAACUACAUGGAGUUGAGCCUAGAGAGAAUGUGUAUGGAGACAACAUAGUUUUUUUUCAUAUGCUGAAGUGU